ensembl:antisense A730035I17Rik RIKEN cDNA A730035I17 gene
UGCUGUUGCUCUUUACCACCGCCGCCGCCGCCGUGGUCCUUAGUGCCCAAGCCGCCCCCUUGCUCGUCUUGGGGAUUCGCAUCAGUGCUGUGAAGUCUCUUGGGGCAGCGGAAUCGCAGAUGUGCCACAUAGGGGAACUCAAACUGGAAACGUUGGCUGCAUUCCAGUUUCAUUCGGGACAACACCUCAGAAGCUUCGUCCACCCUAUGAUGUGCAAGGAAAUUACCCUCAGACACCUCCAUCACACUUGCUGAGACUCACCCGGAAGAUGUAAGGUACUGUUCUCUUGUCCGUGGACUUGAGGGCUACGAAGGCUAUGCUGUCAUACAGGGAAGUAUGGCUCAGUACACAGGGACCGAAUAUGGCGUUCUCUGGGAUGUCGCAGGUUGUAUAUACACUGGUAAAAAUGUCUGUCAGACACUGUUGGACAGCCUUGGCAUCUCCAUCCCAGAUGCCUCUCUGGAUGCCUGAAUCCUCCAUCACUGGAGACAGAUACCCAGGACGAGAAGAGAGUUGUUAUUGCCUUUUCUGCUACGAACCUCGGCAGAGCGUUUCCGCUACCAGACAUAUUUUCUUUGCACUUGCCGGCUUUUUUACAUAGCUCCUACUUUAAAAAUAAAGCCGAUCAAUCUGU